GUGGCUCUGGGAGAUCCCCAAGGAGGCAGAUUCCAUAAAUAAGCAUUACUGCACUAACUGUGUUGGUGUCCAUGUGUUUUAUAUUUAUCUGGUAUUUGGGGCAGGUGAGUACCCCGGGUGUCACACGAAAUCUCCCCACCACCAGUCAGAUGCAAUCCCCAUGCAUCACUCACAACACCCUUGGGCAGAGACGUUCCCAGAUGUGGACAGGGACCACCUUCCCCAAAGCCACGUUUAGCAACCCCCAGGGGCACAGUAGUAUUAAAAAUACUAUUGCACACAAGAAUGUGGGAGAGCCCUGAGAGAGCAGAACUGUAACCAUGGGUGCAUUACUAACGCCUCACUCCUACACAGGCCAGAUCUUACUCAGCAAACACGGUAUUCACACAGGCAGCUCACUCAACAAAGCUGGAAAAAGCUCUUACAGCUACGAGAAGUCCUCAGUUCUUAACAAAGCUGCCAGAGGCUGAGCUCUACAUCCAGAUGAUGACUCACCCAGCCUCACUGCUGCCAGGGCCUCGCUUUUCCAUCAGCGGUCAUUCUGGGAGCUCAGGAGGUCAGUCUCUCAAUAUUUUUUUGGAAAUCAGGGAAGGAAAUGGAUCAGCUGCUCAGUGAAUACAGGUCUUAUGGGGAGUGGCUGAGGAAACUGGGAUUGUUUAGUCUGGAGAAGAGGAGGCUCGGGGGAGACUUUAUUGCUCACUACAACUGCCUAAAAGGAGGUCAUGGCAAGGUGUGGGUCGGCCUCUUCUCCCAGGCAACAACGAUAGGAUGAGAGGGAAUGGCCUCAAGUUGCACCAGGGGAGGUUCAGGUUGGAUAUUAGGAAAAACUUCUUCCCAGAAAGAGUGGUAAAGCAUUGGAACAGGCUGCCCAGGAAGGCACUGUCCCAGGAGGUAUUAAAGAACUGUGUAGACGUGGCAUUGAGGGACAUGGUUAGUGGGUAUGGUGGGGAUGAAUUGGUGGUUGGACUAGAUGGUCUUAGUGGUAUUUUUGAACCUUAAUGACUCUGUGAUUCUGUGAUUCCAUGAAAGGAGGUACCCUGACUAGUCUGAACUCCCAAACACUCAGCAAUGCUCUGCUAGAAGUGCCACUGUAUGGGCACGGCUCGUAUGUUUGUUUCUAGCCCACUGCACUAUGGUUUUACAGAAAGCUAAAGCAAAGCAGAGGGCUGUUCAUUGCUUCAUUUUGAAUAAGAGUGCCUGGGGAGUAGGCGUGUGAUGUUUGCAGUGGCAUGAGCACCUGCAGCUUGUGGGCUAGUGAGGAAGAGCAGCAGAUGUUCAGCAUCUCUGCAACAUCUGGCCUUGAACUGAACACACAUGGUGCCAAGGAUGACCUUCCAGGGGUGAGUGGUUCCUGCCAUUUUAGGACUGGGUGCCAUUAAGAGCAUUAUCAGAGAUUUAGGAAAUGAGUUCAGAGCUGGAUCUGGAAACAUUCAGAUCAUUGUCUUAGAGAUGAACAAAAGUCAAACGUGAACAGGCUGAAACAGAUAAACUUUCAUCUCUUGACAUGUCCAAAGUACCAGUUGAGACUGAGAGCAAGUGCUGAGACCUUGCUGACGGUGUGAUGCUUUGGAGCUGCACUACCCAUAGUGAAACCAGCUCAAUUUUGACAUCUACCACAUGUGCAAUUGAAAAGUGAACUUGCAAAAUGGGGAUUAUUUUGAGAGCUAAGUGAAACUAGCUUGUUCAGCCUGUAGAGCUCUUGGGUUCACUUUCUUACGUUUUGCUUUGUACAGUUCUAUACACCAAGAGUUUUGCUUUGAGUUUUAGGUUCAAACAAAGCAAAACUGAUUGCAAACCACUGUAUUCUGACUUUUCAGAUUGAAAUUAGGUCUCACACAGAAAUUUUCAAGAGCCAAAGCGCAGAGCGCCGGAGCCUGCGUUUCAGCCCAGUCCAUUUCCAAGCUGUCAGCCUGAGGGUCAGAGCCAAGCUUUACUUACACGCACUGAUGCUGAGAGCUGCCUUCCCUGUGCGGUCCCACAUCCGCACAAAACUCCCUAAAACCACCCGAUUUCGCAGUUUCUUCCAGGAAUAAUAGGUGAAGCCAUCCCAACGUUGUCAGAUUUAACUAACGCCAAAUAGCGCCAAGUUAGUAAUUGUUACCUUCAACAGAUUUGUUUCUAGCUAAGUCCAUGAAAAUUAUUACAAAAGCACAUAAAUUCCGAGCUACAGUUAGCACUAUUUUCUGCUAGAACGAAAGCCGCAUGCUUACCUUUAUUAUAACAGACAUGUCUUGCCAAAAGCAGUAGGGCAGAGUGUCCAGAAACACCCUCCUGAAGAAAGCUUUGAAGAAACACCUACUUAAACAUACUUUCAGCCUUUAUUUUAUCCACUUUGCACAUUUAUUUUCUUAGCAGCCCUCGAGCCCAAUGGUUAACACUUUGGAUUAUCGUUCUCACUGGCCACAGAAAAUCAUUUCUGUCUCACUUACAACAGCGCUUAUUAUCAUACUUCCAUGCUCAUCAUUUAACUUUCCACUAUAUUAAUAACCUGGGCCGAUUUUACCCAGCAAGCAACCUAAACCUUCUGACUUUGACAGAAACCUUGUGUGCUUGUUUCUCUUCUUAACCAUCAAAGAAGGUCACUGAGCUACUCUAGGUAUCAGCAUUUUUCCUGUGUGAUUCACUCACACCAAGCAAACCCUCUAGACCAACAUUUCUUCCGUUUCUGAAUUUGUACUUAACCAAUAGGAUCAACAGGUCCCCUUCUCCGUGGGUGGUGAUAAUGUCAGUACACCACUGCCCAAAUAACCUUUCCCUAUAGGGAAAUGCUAACAUUUAAUUCUUUAAAUUUAAACCACAUGUAUUUUGGUCUCAUAACCGUACUCUGCAUUAACUGCCUUUUGUUAUUAAUUUGUAUCACUAAAAACCUUAAUGAAACCGGUUAUUUAAAUUGGAAAUGUUAAGUGCAGUAGACAUCUAAAAUUCGGGUAUGAGCUAUAAUACAUCAAAAUAUUUAAAUAGUAACUAAAUAUUUUACCUAACCAUUGUAAACACAUUUGCAGAAUUAAUAAUGACACAGCCCAGCGUAUGUUCAAUGUAAAGCCACGUCUCCAAAGAGCUGUUCCCUUCAGCCCUUUGCAGGGAACAUAAGCAACAGCCAGAGAGGCUCUUGAAUGGUUUCUAUCAGUUACCUUCAUCUUACCCAGAAACAAAAAGUGCCAUUUAAGUACUGCCUAUGUGAGACCUCCGCUAAGGAGAACAAAUUACGUGUGGGUUGGCCACAUGCUAUUUUCCUCCUGGUGUUCUCUGAAAGAGGCACUGCCACUGUAUACGUUCCCCAUAAAUAUUGCUAUGGGGUGACCACAGGCACACAGCUGCCAGCACAGUGCAAAUACUGCCAUUUGGGACCAGGUCCCGGGGACUCUUAUUCAGACAACAGGGAAACUACAUUGUUCUUCAGCAAAAUGUAACACGACUUGAAAGUAUCAAAAAAAAAAAAAAAAAAAAAAAAAAGGACCAAUUAAGGUCUUAAAAAUUUGGGGGGAGGAGGGUAAAUUUUUACAUUUCUUCAGUAUUUACACAUAUGAGCUAGAUAAUGGUUGCAUUGGUCUGUGCUUACAGUCAUUAUUUUAAUUGCAUGUUUCGUGUCUCAGCAUAAAGAUGUGCUACCUGUAAAGCCUUAAAUUGCAGAUCACAGAGUUUCCAUACCAGUGCAUUAUUUUUUGAAUUGCCUUUUUCAAAGCACGCACUGCCUCCCAGGUGCAAAUUUACACCAUAUUCUUUGUUUUUUAAAUAGGAAUUCUGUAACUCAUUUCACAAGCCAAAAAGUUCACCACCCAGAACCAGUUGGGAAUCUUCCUCUGGACUAAAAUCACUGAAUCAUAGAAGCAUAGAAUUGCUCAGGUUGGAAAAGACCUUAAAGAUCAUCGAGUCCAACCAUGACCUAACCACACUACCCUAACUAACAACACUCCGCUACAUCACGUCCCUGAGCACCACAUCCAAAUGGUUUUUAAACACAUCCAGGGAUGGUGACUCAACCACCUCCCUGGGGAGUCCAUUCCAGUGCUUAACAACCCUUUCUGUAAAGAAGUUUUCCCUGAUAUCUAACUUAAAUCUCCCCUGGCACAACUUGAGGCCCAUCUUUCCCCAUUCAGUCUUGGGGAGCUCACUGGGGCUGGUAAAUCAUAUAAAAAACAGCAGCCAUUGGAGGUGGCUGCAAUAACAAGAGAUAUCCUUGGGGCUUGGUCACAGAUUUCAGGAUGCUUAGGUUGCAGCUCUCUGUGGCUUCCUGCAAUUCUUUCCCAUCUCACAGUCUUUCAUUUCUAUAAUUCCCAGUCCAUAAAAUGCCGUCGCGCGCUCUGGGAUGUGGUAAAAAUGUUCAAAAUACCAUUGCUCCCUUCUAAAGAGACAAACCAGUCCCAGUUCUCUGUAGGAGCGUUCCUGCACCUUCCUCCUGCUCAGACUGCUGGCACGAGUGACGUCAGGGGAGGGUUUGUUUCUCCUCUCACACAACCACUGCUGCUGUGCCUGGGGGUUCAUCCUGGAAAAGAUUCAUACAGACUCAUUAAAAAAAAAAAAAAAAAGAGUGAACAAGAACAAUUUUUCUGCUUCAUUUGCUAAUUACAGAAUUAAUAUUUACACGAUUAAGCCCGAUUUCCUGAUUGCUUUGUGGGUCACCCUACACCAGGCUUUUUUUCUGUAACAAUUUGACUUUUAAACUUCUGCAAUAAUAAUCCAAAUUCCUGUCGAUCACAGUGCUGCUGACCGAUAAAAAACAGUUCAUGGGAAAGUUUUAUCUGCCUGUACAAUCCUCAUUGAUGCCUAUAGUGAAUUUCGCCUACAGUUUGCUACCCUCUCGCAAUUUUAGCUUCAUUACGAGUUAUAGGUUUUACACUUAUGCAGUAUAUCGUUUUUAUGCAUUAAAUUCUAGAAGAACUUUUCAGUAACACUCAGUCCAGCAUUGUACAAUUCCUAUAUAACCACACCAACUAAUGUAUUCAAGGUUUUUAACUUCCCUCCUAUUCAGCAGACCAUCAAAAAUGAACCUGAUUAACAUAGCUUUGUAAUUACUGCGUGUAUUUCUCUAAUUUUCUGUAGCUGAGUGCCUGGUACCUGAAGUUAUCGCUUUCUUCAUCGAAAUUAGUUUGCUCCAUCAUGCCCUGAACUGAGGAAUUAUGCUUAUUUUUGCCAGGCUCCCAACACUGUUGAACCUCAGAGCACUGUGUUCUUGUUGGGAAGCCCCAUUUUCUCAGCCAGAGCCUGUAUGCGUUAUCUGCAAGGGAAAGAUGGACUGUUCAGUGCCCCAAGCCUUGAACCUCACAGCUGUCUUCUUGUGGUCACCCGCAGCAUCAGCAGCUCCCCACCCGCACACGGGUUCAGCUCAGCCACCUUAAUUCAAAACAGAUCCUUGAUGGCAUCCUGUUAAACACAAUAACCCUCUACUUUCUAGAUACGGAAUUACUUUCCUGCCCCUACUCCUUGUUAAACUUGGAUAAAACACCUUAGGUGGAAUUACUUUCACAGCUGCGCCACCUUUAAUUUUGUUAAGCCUUUGUAAAGGUGUACUGGGUUUUUUUUUACAGUGUCCUUCUACAGCAGUAUCAAAGUUCAGAUGCCUACAGGAAGGUACCCA
ensembl:lncRNA